rnacentral:rRNA from 1 species
AACGAACGCUGGCGGCAUGCCUAACACAUGCAAGUCGAACGAGACCUUCGGGUCUAGUGGCGCACGGGUGCGUAACGCGUGGGAAUCUGCCCUUGGGUUCGGAAUAACAGUUGGAAACGACUGCUAAUACCGGAUGAUGUCUUCGGACCAAAGAUUUAUCGCCCAGGGAUGAGCCCGCGUAGGAUUAGCUUGUUGGUGAGGUAAAGGCUCACCAAGGCGACGAUCCUUAGCUGGUCUGAGAGGAUGAUCAGCCACACUGGGACUGAGACACGGCCCAGACUCCUACGGGAGGCAGCAGUGGGGAAUAUUGGACAAUGGGCGAAAGCCUGAUCCAGCAAUGCCGCGUGAGUGAUGAAGGCCUUAGGGUUGUAAAGCUCUUUUACCCGGGAUGAUAAUGACAGUACCGGGAGAAUAAGCCCCGGCUAACUCCGUGCCAGCCGCCGCCGUAAGAC